UCGAAGCAACGCGAAGAACCUUACCAAAUCUUGACAUCCUUUGACAACUCUAGAGAUAGAGCCUUCCCCUUCGGGGGACAAAGUGACAGGGGGUGCAUGGUUGUCGUCAGCUCGUGUCGUGAGAUGUUGGGUUAAGUCCCGCAACGAGCGCAACCCUUAAGCUUAGUUGCCAUCAUUAAGUUGGGCACUCUAAGUUGACUGCCGGUGACAAACCGGAGGAAGGUGGGGAUGACGUCAAAUCAUCAUGCCCCUUAUGAUUUGGGCUACACACGUGCUACAAUGGACAAUACAAAGGGCAGCGAAACCGCGAGGUCAAGCAAAUCCCAUAAAGUUGUUCUCAGUUCGGAUUGUAGUCUGCAACUCGACUACAUGAAGCUGGAAUCGCUAGUAAUCGUAGAUCAGCAUGCUACGGUGAAUACGUUCCCGGGUCUUGUACACA
rnacentral:rRNA from 1 species